CUAAACGACUCUCGGCAACGGAUAUCUCGGCUCUCGCAUCGAUGAAGAACGUAGCGAAAUGCGAUACUUGGUGUGAAUUGCAGAAUCCCGCGAACCAUCGAGUCUUUGAACGCAAGUUGCGCCCGAAGCCAUUAGGUUGAGGGCACGCCUGCCUGGGCGUCUCA
rnacentral:rRNA from 1 species